rnacentral:ncRNA from 1 species
UAAAAGUUUUAUUUUAGCUUAAGAAAUUUAUUAUUAAUUUAUAUUAUAUGUAAAUUUUUGUGUGAACUAAUGUUUAUUUAAAAAAUAAAUUUUAUUAAAAUUAUUUGCAAUAAUUAAUAUUAUUAGUUAAAGAAAUUUAGAAAUAGAAAUAUUAAUUUAAUAUUGACUUAAUUUGUGCCAGCAGUUGCGGUUAUACAAAUAAUAUAAAUAAAUUUUAUUAAUAAAAGUUAAAUUGUUAAAUUUAUAAAAUAAAAAUAAAUUUAUUAAGUGAAAUUUUAAAUUUAUAAUAUAUUUAUAAUAUAAUAAUUAUUAAAGCUUAUAAUUUUCAAUAAUAAACUAGGAUUAGAUACCCUAUUAUUUGAAAUGUAAUUUAAUUUAUUUGAGUAGUAUUAGUUAAAUUCUUGAAACUUAAAAAAUUUGGCGGUAUUUUAGUCUAUUCAGAGGAACUUGUUUUUUAAUCGAUAAUCCACGAUGUACCUUACUUAAAAUUGUUAUUCAAUUUAUAUAUCGUUGUUAUUAGAAUAUUUUAUAAGAAUAAUAAUUUUCUAUAUUUUUUAUUAAAAUUAAUAUCAAAUCAAGGUGUAGUUUAUUUUUAAGUAUAAAUGAGUUACAAUAAAUAUAUUUUUGGAUUUAAAUAUGAAAAAUUUAAUGAAAUUGGAUUUGAUAGUAAAAUUAUAAAGAUAAAUAAUUUGAUUUUAGCUCUAAAAUAUGUACAUAUCGCCCGUCACUCUUGUUAUUAAAAUAAGAUAAGUCGUAACAUAGUAGAUGUACUGGAAAGUGUAUCUAGAAUCAA